UACGUAGGGUGCGAGCGUUAAUCGGAAUUACUGGGCGUAAAGCGUGCGCAGGCGGUUCGUUGUGUCGGCGGUGAAAGCCCCGGGCUUAACCUGGGAAUGGCCGUCGAAACUGGCGAACUGGAGUGUGGCAGAGGGGGAUGGAAUUCCGCGUGUAGCAGUGAAAUGCGUAGAGAUGCGGAGGAACACCGAUGGCGAAGGCAGUGUCCUGGGGAGUACCUGACGCUCAGGUGCGAAAGCCAGGGGAGCGAACGGG
rnacentral:rRNA from 1 species